rnacentral:rRNA from 1 species
UUUGUUUGCGCAGGAUAGGUGGGGGGCGUUGAAAAUUUUCUUGCGGGAAGAUUGGAGCCGUUGGUGAGAUACCACUCUAACAAUGCUAGGAUUCUAACCCUACACCAUUAUCCGGUUAGGGGACAGUUUCAGGUGGUCAGUUUGACUGGGGCGGUCGCCUCCCAAAAGGUAACGGAGGCGUGCAAAGGUUUCCUCAGGCUGGUCGGAAAUCAGUCGUAGAGUGUAAAGGCAUAAGGAAGCUUGAUUGUGAGACCUACAAGUCGAACAAAGACGAAAGUCGGCCUUAGUGAUCCGACGGUUCCGAGUGGAAGGGCCGUCGCUCAACGGAUAAAAGUUACUCUAGGGAUAACAGGCUGAA